rnacentral:rRNA from 1 species
GGUAACCGUAGAGUUUGAUCCUGGCUCAGACUCGAUCCUGCCUGGGAAUGCGGGAAAUCUUCCGGAAACGGGCGCUAAUACCGCAUACGUCCUGAGGGAGAAAGUGGGGGAUCUUCGGACCUCACGCUAUCAGAUGAGCCUAGGUCGGAUUAGCUAGUUGGUGGGGUAAAGGCCUACCAAGGCGACGAUCCGUAACUGGUCUGAGAGGAUGAUCAGUCACACUGGAACUGAGACACGGUCCAGACUCCUACGGGAGGCAGCAGUGGGGAAUAUUGGACAAUGGGCGAAAGCCUGAUCCAGCCAUGCCGCGUGUGUGAAGAAGGUCUUCGGAUUGUAAAGCACUUUAAGUUGGGAGGAAGGGCAGUAAGUUAAUACCUUGCUGUUUUGACGUUACCAACAGAAUAAGCACCGGCUAACUUCGUGCCAGCAGCCGCGGUAAUACGAAGGGUGCAAGCGUUAAUCGGAAUUACUGGGCGUAAAGCGCGCGUAGGUGGUUCAGCAAGUUGGAUGUGAAAUCCCCGGGCUCAACCUGGGAACUGCAUCCAAAACUACUGAGCUAGAGUACGGUAGAGGGUGGGUGGAAUUUCCUGUGUAGCGGUGAAAUGCGUAGAUAUAGGAAGGAACACCAGUGGCGAAGGCGACCACCUGGACUGAUACUGACACUGAGGUGCGAAAGCGUGGGGAGCAAACAGGAUUAGAUACCCCUGGUAGUCCACGCCGUAAACGAUGUCGACUAAGCCGUUGGGAUCCUUGAGAUCUUAGUGGCCGCAGCUAACGCGAUAAGUCGACCGCCUGGGGGAGUACGGGCCGCAAGGCUAAAACUCAGAUGAAUUGACGGGGGGCCCGCACAAGCGGGGGAAACAUGUGGUUUUAAUUCGAAAGCAACGAGAAAUA